GUUAAUGUAGCAAACCCAGGUUUUGCAAAAGCCCUAAACCCUUUUUAUAGAGGUUCAAAUCCUCUCUUUAACN
rnacentral:tRNA from 1 species